rnacentral:rRNA from 1 species
UAUCUCUGUAGAGUCUGCAUAUCAAUAAGCGGAGGAAAAGAAACUAACAAGGAUUCCCCUAGUAACGGCGAGUGAAGCGGGAAGAGCUCAAAUUUGAAAUCUUCAAGGUUCUGACCUUGACGAAUUGUAGUUUAAAGAAGUGUUUUCGGUUAGAGGAGUAGUAAAAGUUCUUUGGAAUAGGACAUCAUAGAGGGUGAGAAUCCCGUAUUUGACUAUUCUUUCUAGCUUUGUGAUACACUUUCAAAGAGUCGGAUUGUUUGGGAAUGCAGUCCAAAAUGGGUGGUAAAUUUCAUCUAAAGCUAAAUAUUGGCGAGAGACCGAUAGCGAACAAGUACCGUGAGGGAAAGAUGAAAAGAACUUUGAAAAGAGAGUUAAACAGUACGUGAAAUUGUCAAAAGGGAAGCGUUUGACACCAGUGUUGUUUUUCCGAAAAUCAAUUAAAAAUUGAUUCAUGCCAGGUUGUAUUGACCUUAUCAGCUUGCAAUUUGGUUUUGGGUCUCUUUUUGAUGCACUUUUCGGUUAACAAGUCAACAUCAAUUUCCUUUGCUGUAAAAAGGUAAGAGGAAGGUGGCUUCAAUUUCGGUUGAAGUGUUUAUAGCCUUUUAUCUCUGCAGUCGGGGAGAUUGAGGUCUGCAGCGUAGAUCCUUCGGGGCUAGAUACAUUUAUGCUAAGUUAUAGCUUUUCAUAGACAACUUGUUGACUAUGUUUAGUCAUGUAGCUUACUCGUAAGUGCUAUUUUACCUACGCUUAGGAUGUUGAGCGCAUGUCUCUCUC